CCUACGGGGGGCUGCAGUGAGGAAUAUUGGUCAAUGGACGAGAGUCUGAACCAGCCAAGUAGCGUGAAGGAUGACUGCCCUAUGGGUUGUAAACUUCUUUUAUAUGGGAAUAAAACGUUCCACGUGUGGGAUUUUGUAUGUACCAUAUGAAUAAGGAUCGGCUAACUCCGUGCCAGCAGCCGCGGUAAUACGGAGGAUCCGAGCGUUAGCCGGAUUUAUUGGGUUUAAAGGGAGCGUAGGUGGAUUGUUAAGUCAGUUGUGAAAGUUUGGGGCUCAACCGUAAAAUUGCAGUUGAAACUGGCAGUCUAGAGUACAGUAGAGGUGGGCGGAAUUCGAGGUGUAGCGGUGAAAUGCUUAGAUAUGACGAAGAACUCCGAUUGCGAAGGCAGUUCACUGGACUGCAACUGACACUGAGGCUCGAAAGUGUGGGUAUCAAACAGGAUUAGAUACCCUUGUAGUC
rnacentral:rRNA from 1 species